rnacentral:rRNA from 1 species
AUUGAACGCUGGCGGCAUGCCUUACACAUGCAAGUCGAACGGCAACGCGGGGGAAACCUUGGCGGCGAGUGGCGAACGGGUGAGUAAAAUAUCGGAACGUACCCUGGAAUGGGGGAUAACGUAGCGAAAGUUACGCUAAUACCGCAUACGAUCUAAGGAUGAAAGUGGGGGACCGGAAGGCCUCACGUUCUAGGAGCGGCCGAUAACUGAUUAGCUAGUUGGUGGGGUAAAGGCCCACCAAGGCGACGAUCAGUAGCUGGUCUGAGAGGACGACCAGCCACACUGGGCCUGAGACACGGCCCAGACUCCUACGGGAGGCAGCAGUGGGGAGUUUUGGACAAUGGGGGAAACCCUGAUCCAGCAAUGCCGCGUGAGUGAAGAAGGCCUUCGGGUUGUAAAGCUCUUUUGUCGGGGAGAAACGGUGGUGGCUAAUACCUACUACUAAUGACGGUACCCGAAGAAUAAGCACCGGCUAACUACGUGCCAGCAGCCGCGGUAA